AUUCUUGUACAGCCUAGUUGGUGUGGGGUAUGUACAAUGAAUUCAUAUUGUGGUCUGCUCUCCAAGGCUGGUCUUUGGUUUGAUCUUCACCUACAAUCAGCUAAAUUAGAGAGACAAACCAUCAAAAUUCUGCACAUUCUUUCCUGGCUUCACAUUAACUUGUGCCUACUUGUGUGCUUGUGAGUUCUUUAAGCUAAAACUACAACACCAUAUAUUCCAUUCCUUGACUUGCUGGCUUUGUCUGUACCAGUAACAGAGAGGCCAGGACUUGACUUACAAUUCAAUAAGGAUGAGUUUAAGUGCACUUUACCCACCGUAGACUGUGCCUACCUCACCCAGGUGGUAUGUCUGAAUGAUGUCACACUUCGCUUUGAGAUCUGGGAUAAUCCGGAGGAGCCCACGAUGCACUGGUGGUGUACGAUAUCAGCAAACAGUGCACUCGUGUGUGUGUGCGCACGGGUGGGUGUGUGUAUUUAGGAGAGCUUCAUAAGGUCCCAGCUGUGGCUUAGGGAGCUGGAGAAGCACUGUAUCCCAGGUUCCAUCGUGAGGGUUCUACUAGGGAACAAGGGGGACAUUUCAGAGCUGCGCCAGGAAGGACAUAGUCUUGCCAUUGACUGAGGCUUGCUUUUUAUGGAGACCUUGGCCAAUUCAGGGAAUCAAGUCAGUGAACUGAUGCUGGCUAUUGCCCAGGGUGAAGAGGAGUGUGAUUCAGCAGCAAGUCAGCCUGAUAGAGUGGCAGGAGACAGUUAGUGAACCUGCACUACUCUGAGAACCUACAUCAGCCACUGGCAAUCUGUUGCCCCUCCAUUGGACCCUUAUGUGUGUUCUAUGUGGAUAGGUGUAUAGGUUUGUGUGUAUGUGUUUGUGUGUGUGUUGUUGUUAAGGGAGAUGAUAAGAUUACAGACCGGAUGGAACUGCAGUUCCCCAUGCCCUUUUAGUUUGAUCACCCAAAUGUGAAAUCCUUAAGGACAGAGGAGAAACUAUGUUCAAAGAUUUAAGGUUAACCAAAAUCAAACUUUUCCUUACUUAUGUACAGUGCAUUCGGAAAGUAUUCAGACCCCUUCUCUUUUUCCACAUUUGUGACUCGUUUCAGGAAACGAUGUAUGUCGCGCGUCACUGCUUCACAGGAGUGCCAUUUUAUCGUAAACCUUCUUUAAUCAAAAUGCAUUUUGGGUCAGAAAUGCCUUCUGUAACUUUCAUGUGCCUUAAUAGCAAACUUGUAUACCAUCUGUAAAUAUGAAUAAAAUUGUUAAAUUAUGAGCCUAGUAGGUUUAGCCACGGAAAAAGUCAGCAACCUUCCCGCUAGACAUGAGUGGACUGGAUAUGCCAAGAGUUGAG